GAUGUAAGUAUAAAUUUUAUUGAUUUCUUUGUUAAAUUAUUCUUUAAAUGUGGAAACUAAUUGAGUUUUUUUGUCACAGAUAUGAUAUGCCUUGAAAUACAUCAAAUCUCUUGGGACUUCAAUCUACUUUUUAAAAGGUUCCUGAUCAAUGCCCAGCAGUCACUCAAAAAAUAUCUAGGUAAUUGUGAUGCUUAUUUUUGUAGUACAUCAGUUUUUUUAAGUAUCCAAAGUCGUAUGAGAUAGCUUGUUAAAGUAACUUGUGUUAACGAGAAAACGAAUUUGGACAGAUCAAAUCUUGUCUAGGUGAGGUUACCGCUAUUUAAAUUUCCGGUUAACCUCAAUCCGGCGAGAAACAAUCAUCCUAAUUUACAAUUCAUCAAAUUGAUGUUUAUGGAUUAAAACUAAAAGUUUUGUUUUCUUUUCCAGGUAUUCAUCAAUCUGAAUGCAACUUCUCUGUGAUAUCAAGAUCUGUCACAAUUUAAUGUUAUUUUUUUUAAUAAAUCAUGAAAAUAA